rnacentral:rRNA from 1 species
CCGGCACGGGUGAGUAACACGUAUCCAACCUGCCGUCUACUCUUGGACAGCCUUCUGAAAGGAAGAUUAAUACAAGAUGGCAUCAUGAGUCCGCAUGUUCACAUGAUUAAAGGUAUUCCGGUAGACGAUGGGGAUGCGUUCCAUUAGAUAGUAGGCGGGGUAACGACCCACCUAGUCUUCGAUGGAUAGGGGUUCUGAGAGGAAGGUCCCCCACAUUGGAACUGAGACACGGUCCAA